GAUGAACGCUGGCGGCGUGCCUAAUACAUGCAAGUCGAGCGAACGGACGAGAAGCUUGCUUCUCUGAUGUUAGCGGCGGACGGGUGAGUAACACGUGGAUAACCUACCUAUAAGACUGGGAUAACUUCGGGAAACCGGAGCUAAUACCGGAUAAUAUUUUGAACCGCAUGGUUCAAAAGUGAAAGACGGUCUUGCUGUCACUUAUAGAUGGAUCCGCGCUGCAUUAGCUAGUUGGUAAGGUAACGGCUUACCAAGGCAACGAUGCAUAGCCGACCUGAGAGGGUGAUCGGCCACACUGGAACUGAGACACGGUCCAGACUCCUACGGGAGGCAGCAGUAGGGAAUCUUCCGCAAUGGGCGAAAGCCUGACGGAGCAACGCCGCGUGAGUGAUGAAGGUCUUCGGAUCGUAAAACUCUGUUAUUAGGGAAGAACAUAUGUGUAAGUAACUGUGCACAUCUUGACGGUACCUAAUCAGAAAGCCACGGCUAACUACGUGCCAGCAGCCGCGGUAAUACGUAGGUGGCAAGCGUUAUCCGGAAUUAUUGGGCGUAAAGCGCGCGUGGGCGGUUUUUUAAGUCUGAUGUGAAAGCCCACGGCUCAACCGUGGAGGGUCAUUGGAAACUGGAAAACUUGAGUGCAGAAGAGGAAAGUGGAAUUCCAUGUGUAGCGGUGAAAUGCGCAGAGAUAUGGAGGAACACCAGUGGCGAAGGCGACUUUCUGGUCUGUAACUGACGCUGAUGUGCGAAAGCGUGGGGAUCAAACAGGAUUAGAUACCCUGGUAGUCCACGCCGUAAACGAUGAGUGCUAAGUGUUAGGGGGUUUCCGCCCCUUAGUGCUGCAGCUAACGCAUUAAGCACUCCGCCUGGGGAGUACGACCGCAAGGUUGAAACUCAAAGGAAUUGACGGGGACCCGCACAAGCGGUGGAGCAUGUGGUUUAAUUCGAAGCAACGCGAAGAACCUUACCAAAUCUUGACAUCCUUUGACAACUCUAGAGAUAGAGCUUUCCCCUUCGGGGGACAAAGUGACAGGUGGUGCAUGGUUGUCGUCAGCUCGUGUCGUGAGAUGUUGGGUUAAGUCCCGCAACGAGCGCAACCCUUAAGCUUAGUUGCCAUCAUUAAGUUGGGCACUCUAAGUUGACUGCCGGUGACAAACCGGAGGAAGGUGGGGAUGACGUCAAAUCAUCAUGCCCCUUAUGAUUUGGGCUACACACGUGCUACAAUGGACAAUACAAAGGGCAGCGAAACCGUGAGGUCAAGCAAAUCCCAUAAAGUUGUUCUCAGUUCGGAUUGUAGUCUGCAACUCGACUACAUGAAGCUGGAAUCGCUAGUAAUCGUAGAUCAGCAUGCUACGGUGAAUACGUUCCCGGGUCU
rnacentral:rRNA from 1 species